AACGCACCUUGCACCCCUUGGUAUUCCGAGGGGUACGCCUGUUUGAGUGUCGUGAACUCCUCCAACUCCGGUUUUCCAGAGUAUGGGAUUUGGGUGUCGCUGGUCCCUGGUAGACCGGCUCGCCUUAAAUGCAUUAGCGAAGCCCUUGCGGCCGUGGCAGCGAUAAUUAUCCGCGCCUUGGCUUAGCGACUUUGAAGGGAAUUGCUUACAACCGUCCUUUGGGACAACUACUACGACUUGACCUCAGAUCAGGUGGGACUACCCGCUGAACUUAA
rnacentral:misc_RNA from 1 species